UUGAUCCUGGCUCAGGACGAACGCUGGCGGCGUGGAUUAGGCAUGCAGUCGAGCGGGAUCCGCGGGUUCAAUUCUUCGGAAAAGAUCCCGUGGUGAGAGCGGGAACGGGUGAGUAAUGCGCAGACGACUUGCCCCCGGAGUGCGAUAGCCCCUCGAAAGAGGGAUUAAUACCGGAUAUGGUCGUCCCGCACAAGCGGGAUUAUCCAAAGGUGCCUUCUUCGGAAGGUGUCACCAGGGGAUGGGUUUGCGUUCUAUCAGCUUGUUGGUGGGGUAACGGCUCACCAAGGCAAUGACGGAUAGCUGGUCUGAGAGGAUGGUCAGCCACACUGGGACUGAGACACUGCCCAGACUCCUACGGGAGGCUGCAGUCGAGAAUCAUUCGCAAUGCGCGCAAAGCGUGACGAUGCGACGCCGCGUGGAGGAUGACGGCCUUCGGGUUGUAAACUCCUGUCAUGAGGGAACAAAGCUUUGCGGGUUAAUACCCCGGGAGUGUGAUGGUACCUCAAGGAGGAAGUCACGG
rnacentral:rRNA from 1 species